AGCAUUCAGUCGAGGAAAUAUAGAAUAAUGUCAUCUCUUUUGUUGUGGAUUAUGGUCAAUCUAGAAACAUAGAAAUCAACUAAUUUAUGAAAGGAAGAGUUCUACAGGCAGAGAUAUUUCGAAACAAGUUAUCAAUUAUAUAUCGGAGUUGAAUGGAGUGGAACAAAAAAAACUCCCCUUAAAUGUUAACGAAGGUCACAAACAACUGCAAGAAGCACAAGGGUGACUGUCUUUUUUGAUGCGGCCUUUGACAAGAGAUCUUUCAGAUCUGCUUCUGGUCUGGCUGUACGAGAUAAGGGGGGAGGGAUCUUGGUAUCAAAGACGGUGAUCCACUCCGAUAUAUCAUCCCCGUUCGUGGUGGAGGCAGAUGCAGGGUUACAAGAGAUUCAAUUAGGUAUUACAAUGGGUUUUAACAGUCUACAAAUAAUAGGGGACUCAAGAACAGUGAUAAAGAAAUGUCAAUCUAAAGAUCCGGACAAAUCGAUUAUAGGAGCGCUCAUUAGAGGCAUUCAAAGCAAAAAAGUUUAUUUUCAGGAUAUCAAUUUUCAUUUUAUUCCUAAAUCAGAAAAUGAAUAUGCACAUUUCCUUGCCAAAGAUGUACUGAAGAAGGGAGUGGGACAUUACCUGCAGGGGAGGAUCCAGGCCAUGCUCAUCGCGAGAGGGAGAAUCGGAGACCAAGAAAGCUAGAUUGAGAGCAGCAGAGUUAAGAUGAAAGAAGGUCUUCAAAGAAAUUGAUAGCAGAAGAGUAAAGUUUUUUUGGGGAAUUGCUAUCAUUAAAACUGGAAAGGUGAAAUGAAAAGACAAGGGAUGGCGUCCAGC
rnacentral:lncRNA from 1 species